AUUGAACGCUGGCGGCAUGCUUUACACAUGCAAGUCGAACGGUAGAGGGGGCAACCCCUUGAGAGUGGCGAACGGGUGAGUAAUGCAUCGGAACGUGCCCAGUCGUGGGGGAUAACGCAGCGAAAGCUGUGCUAAUACCGCAUACGAUCUCUGGAUGAAAGCGGGGGACCGAAAGGCCUCGCGCGAUUGGAGCGGCCGAUGUCAGAUUAGGUAGUUGGUGGGGUAAAGGCCUACCAAGCCAACGAUCUGUAGCUGGUCUGAGAGGACGACCAGCCACACUGGGACUGAGACACUGCCCAGACUCCUACGGGAGGCAGCAGUGGGGAAUUUUGGACAAUGGGCGCAAGCCUGAUCCAGCGAUGCCGCGUGCAGGAAGAAGGCCUUCGGGUUGUAAACUGCUUUUGUACGGAACGAAACGGUCUGGGUUAAUACCCUGGGCUAAUGACGGUACCGUAAGAAUAAGCACCGGCUAACUACGUGCCAGCCGCCGCAGUAA
rnacentral:rRNA from 1 species